rnacentral:rRNA from 1 species
UAAGUUGGGGGUGAAAUCUCCGGGCUCAACCCGGAGCUCGUUCUCAAAACUGGUAGACUUGAGUAAGGUAGAGGCUGACGGAAUUCUGCAAGUAGGGGUAAAAUCCGUUGAUCUGCAGAGGAACACCAAAAGCGAAGGCAGUCAGCUGGGCCUUUACUGACGCUGAGGGACGAAAGCGUGGGUAGCGAACGGGAUUAGAUACCCCGGUAGUCCACGCCGUAAAUGAUGGAUACUGGACAUUGGUACUCGAUCGUAUCAGUGUCUCAAGCUAACGCAUUAAGUAUCCCGCCUGGGGAGUACGGUCGCAAGAUUAAAACUCAAAGGAAUAGACGGGGACCCACACAAGCGGUGGAGCAUGUGGUUUAAUUCGACAAUAAGCGAGGAACCUUACCAGGGCUUGACAUCCCGAGAAUUCUUUAGAAAUAGAGAAGUGCCUUUAUGGAACUCGGUGACAGGUGCUGCAUGGUUGUCGUCAGCUCGUGCCUUGAGGUGUUCGGUUAAGUCCGUAAACGAGCGCAACCCUAGUCCUAUGUUGUAUAUUUCAUAGGAGACUGCCUUGUCCAACGAGGAGGAAGGUUAGGAUGACGUCAAAUCAGCAUGGCCCUUAUGUCCUGGGCGACACACGUGCUACAAUGGUCGGUACAAUGGGUAGCCAACCCGCGAGGGGGAGCCAAUCCCAUCAAAGCCGGUCCAAGUUCGGAUUGGAGGCUGCAACUCGCCUCCAUGAAG